UCUUGUGCCAGCAGCCGCGGUAAUACGAAGGGGGCUAGCGUUGCUCGGAAUCACUGGGCGUAAAGGGUGCGUAGGCGGGUCUUUAAGUCAGGGGUGAAAUCCUGGAGCUCAACUCCAGAACUGCCUUUGAUACUGAAGAUCUUGAGUUCGGGAGAGGUGAGUGGAACUGCGAGUGUAGAGGUGAAAUUCGUAUAUAUUCGCAAGAACACCAGUGGCGAAGCUGGCUCACUGUUACACAUAUGACACUGAGGCACGAAAGCGUGAGGAGCAAACAGGAUUAGAUACCCUGGUAGUCCACGCCGUAAACGAUGAAUGCCAGCCGUUAGUGGGUUUACUCACUAGUGGCGCAGCUAACGCUUUAAGCAUUCCGCCUGGGGAGUACGGUCGCAAGAUUAAAACUCAAAGGAAUUGACGCGCGCCCGCACAAGCGGUGGAGCAUGUGGUUUAAUUCGACGCAACGCGCAGAACCUUACCAGCCCUUGACAUCCCGGUCGCGAACUCCAGAGACGGAGUUCUUCAGUUCGGCUGGACCGGAGACAGGUGCUGCAUGCCUGUCGUCAGCUCGUGUCGUGAGAUGUUGGGUUAAGCCGCGCAACGAGCGCAACCUCCGUCCUUAGUUGCUACCAUUUAGUUGAGCACUCUAAGGAGACUGCCGGUGAUAAGGCCGCGAGAAGGUGGGCUGACGUCAAGUCCUCAUGGGCGUUACGGGCUGGGCUACACACGUGCUACAUGGCGGUGACGAUGGAUGCUACGGAGACGACCAUACGCAAUCUCAAAAAGCGUCUCAGUUCGAUGGGCUCUGCACUCGAGCCCAUGAAGUAGAUCGCUAGUAUCGUGGAUCAGCACCGCCACGUGAUACGUUCAG
rnacentral:rRNA from 1 species